rnacentral:rRNA from 1 species
GACGAACGCUGGCGGCGUGCUUAACACAUGCAAGUCGAACGAUGAAGCCUAGCUUGCUAGGUGGAUUAGUGGCGAACGGGUGAGUAAUACGUGAGUGACCUACCUUUGACUCUGGGAUAAGCCUGGGAAACUGGGUCUAAUACCGGAUACGACCAAUCUCUGCAUGGGGUGUUGGUGGAAAGCGUUAUGGAGUGGUUUUAGAUGGGCUCACGGCCUAUCAGCCUGUUGGUGAGGUAAUGGCUUACCAAGGCGACGACGGGUAGCCGGCCUGAGAGGGUGACCGGCCACACUGGGACUGAGACACGGCCCAGACUCCUACGGGAGGCAGCAGUGGGGAAUAUUGCACAAUGGGCGCAAGCCUGAUGCAGCGACGCCGCGUGAGGGAUGACGGCCUUCGGGUUGUAAACCUCUGUUAGCAUCGAAGAAGCGAAAGUGACGGUAGGUGCAGAGAAAGCGCCGGCUAACUACGUGCCAGCAGCCGCGGUAAUACGUAGGGCGCGAGCGUUGUCCGGAAUCAUUGGGCGUAAAGAGCUUGUAGGCGGUUGGUCGCGUCUGCUGUGAAGGCCGGGGCUUAACUCCGGUUUUGCAGUGGGUACGGGCUAACUAGAGUGCAGUAGGGGAGACUGGAAUUCCUGGUGUAGCGGUGGAAUGCACAGAUAUCAGGAGGAACACCGAUGGCGAAGGCAGGUCUCUGGGCUGUAACUGACGCUGAGAAGCGAAAGCAUGGGGAGCGAACAGGAUUAGAUACCCUGGUAGUCCAUGCCGUAAACGUUGGGCACUAGGUGUGGGGGACAUUCCACGUUUUCCGCGCCGUAGCUAACGCAUUAAGUGCCCCGCCUGGGGAGUACGGCCGCAAGGCUAAAACUCAAAGGAAUUGACGGGGGCCCGCACAAGCGGCGGAGCAUGCGGAUUAAUUCGAUGCAACGCGAAGAACCUUACCAAGGCUUGACAUGCAUUAGAUCGCGUCAGAGAUGGCGUUUCCCUUCGGGGCUGGUGUACAGGUGGUGCAUGGUUGUCGUCAGCUCGUGUCGUGAGAUGUUGGGUUAAGUCCCGCAACGAGCGCAACCCUCGUUCUAUGUUGCCAGCGGUUCGGCCGGGGACUCAUAGGAGACUGCCGGGGUUAACUCGGAGGAAGGUGGGGAUGACGUCAAAUCAUCAUGCCCCUUAUGUCUUGGGCUUCACGCAUGCUACAAUGGCCGGUACAGAGGGUUGCGAUACUGUGAGGUGGAGCUAAUCCCUUAAAGCCGGUCUCAGUUCGGAUUGGGGUCUGCAACUCGACCCCAUGAAGUCGGAGUCGCUAGUAAUCGCAGAUCAGCAACGCUGCGGUGAAUACGUUCCCGGGCCU